GUCAGCGACCCUCGGCUAGAAGUCGGGGGCUUGUAAGAACAAUUCUACAAGCUCCAAGUUGACCAGACUAAGUCUUUAGUGUUGUGUAGGGGCGGUGCCAAGAGCCCACCCUGCCUGAUGAGCAUAAGGUUAUAUCCUGCCAUUGAAGACUAUGUUAUGAGUGAAUAUAUAGGCACCAUGGGAUGAUUCUCCAGUCCCAUAUUCUGCG
rnacentral:sRNA from 20 species